rnacentral:rRNA from 1 species
AACGUAGGACGCGAGCGUUAUCCGGAUUUACUGGGCGUAAAGCGCGGGCAGGCGGUCUGACAAGUCUGAUGUGAAAUCUCCGGGCUUAACCGGGAGAGGCCAUUGGAAACUGACAGGCUGGAGGGCAGUAGAGGUAGGCGGAAUUCCGGGUGGAGUGGUGAAAUGCGUAGAGAUCCGGAGGAACACCAGAGGCGAAGGCGGCCUACUGGGCUGCACCUGACGCUGAGCCUCGAAAGCCAGGGGAUCGAACGGG